GGGUGCAGCAGGCGCGAAAACUUUACAAUGCUGGCAACAGCGAUAAGGGGACCUCGAGUGCCAGGUUACAAAUCUGGCUGUCGUGAUGCCUAAAAAGCAUUGCAUAGCAAGGGCCGGGCAAGACCGGUGCCAGCCGCCGCGGUAACACCGGCGGCUCGAGUGGUAACCGUUAUUAUUGGGUCUAAAGGGUCUGUAGCCGGCCGGAUAAGUCUCUUGGGAAAUCUGGCAGCUUAACUGUCAGGCUUUCAGGAGAUACUGUCUGGCUCGAGGCCGGGAGAGGUGAGAGGUACUUCAGGGGUAGGGGUGAAAUCUUGUAAUCCUUGAAGGACCACCAGUGGCGAAGGCGUCUCACCAGAACGGACCUGACGGCAAGGGACGAAAGCUAGGGACACGAACCGGAUUAGAUACCCGGGUAGUCCUAGCCGUAAACGAUACUCGCUAGGUGUCGGCCACGGUGCGACCGUUGUCGGUGCCGUAGGGAAGCCGUGAAGCGAGCCACCUGGGAAGUACGGCCGCAAGGCUGAAACUUAAAGGAAUUGGCGGGGGAGCAC
rnacentral:rRNA from 1 species